UCCUCGGUAGCUCAGUUGGUGAAAGAGCUGGACUAGAGAUUCGGAGGUUGCGGGUUCGAUUCCCACUCGAGGAG